UAAUUACUCCAUCCGUCCGAAAAUACUUAUCGAAGAAAUGGAUAAAAAUGAAUAUAUCUAGAACUAAAAUACAUCUAGAUACAUCCAUUUCUCUGACGAGUAUUUCCGGACGGAGGGAGUACUUU
rnacentral:pre_miRNA from 1 species